AGGGGCCUGAGCAUCACGCGUGAGGGGCGGGGCCCAGUUUGAACCUCAGCGCCGAAAGGCUUAAAUUUCUGCUGUGAGGGUUAGAGGUUCUGGCCUCGGUUAUGAGCCCCAGCAGCGCUGGUGACUGACCUGGGCACUGCGGAGCUGGCGCGCUGUGGAGGCCGUGAGGCGCUGCUGUUCCGGGAAAACACAUUGGCCACCAAGGCUAUCGAUGAGUACAUGAAGCUCGUGGCACAGGAUUACCUCCAGGAGACCCUGGGACAGGUUGUGCGGCGUCUCUGUGCUUCUACUGAGGACUGUGAAGUGGACCCCAGCAAGUGUCCAGCCUCGGAGCUGCCAGAGC
rnacentral:sRNA from 1 species